rnacentral:lncRNA from 1 species
CCAUCCCCAAUAAGCUGUAAAUAAAUUGAUGUGAAAGGUGGUAUGCUUUGACCUUUAUAUGACUCCAACUUUCUCUGGAGGUGGAUAGCAUACCCUAUCAUAAGUCUUAAAGCAUUAUUUUAAAGUUUUUUGGAGGGGAAUAUGAAAGAGUUCAACUGGGUUGACUCUUUUCUGCCAGACUGACUCCCCAAGAUUUCUCUUUGCCUGAUUAAAUAGUCCCAGUUCCUUCAACUAAUUCUCAUAUGAUAUCUACUUAAGGUUCUUCUCCAUUCCAGUUAUUCUCUUCUGAUAUUUUUUAGCUUAUCAAAAACUCCCUUUCAACUCUGAUGGCCUAGGAAUGCCUACUGGCAAAAUGAGGGUCAUUUUGCUUUGAUUGAUACUUGAUAAAGAAUAUAUGCUUUACCAAAUGAAAUAGUUCCAUCAAUCUCUUGGUAGAAUGACUGUAAACAAAGCAACUUCUGAUCUUUCAACCUUUCCUGCUGUCUCAUAAUUAUUGUAGCUUGCUGAAGAGUAUUUCUUUUUUUGGUGUCCCAGGAACCUCUCCCUGAACAUCUCAGAAAAGAGAUGGACAAAGAAGUGAGAAGAUAUGGCUUCUAGACCCAACUCUGCCACCAACUAGCAAAAGUACAGCACCUUCUUUGAUGUGGGUAUGCCAGGCUGGAUGGUCCUGUGUUUCACAAUUGAUGCCAAAGUUCUUGAAAGAGACCUCCAGAGUGUCCUUUAUUGCUCCUAUUGCUCCUUCUGACCUCCCUCCUUCCAAAUGCUGAGCUAGCUCUGGCAAAACAUGCAUCAACCUCAUCUACGUGUACAUCCCUGGAAAGUAUAUUUCCAAGGUAAGUAAACUUGUCCACAGAAUCCAAAAUUUCUCCAUCUCUUGUAACCAACAGUUCUAUGCAUAUAGA